rnacentral:rRNA from 1 species
GACGUAGGGGGCCAGCGUUGUUCGGAAUUACUGGGUGUAAAGGGUUCGUAGGCGGUGCGGCAAGUCGGGAGUGAAAUCUCUGGGCUCAACCCAGAGGCUGCUUCCGAAACUGCUGUGCUUGAGUGUGGGAGAGGCGCGUGGAAUUGCAGGUGUAGCGGUGAAAUGCGUAGAUAUCUGCAGGAACACCCGUGGCGAAAGCGGCGCGCUGGACCACUACUGACGCUGAAGAACGAAAGCUAGGCGAGCAAACAGG